GACGAACGCUGGCGGCGUGCUUAAUACAUGCAAGUCGAACGGAAAGGCCAUGCUUUUGCGGGGUGCUCGAGUGGCGAACGGGUGAGUAAAACGUGAGUAACACGUCCUUGACUUUGGGAUAACUUUAGGAAACUGGGGCUAAUAUAGGAUAGGAGAUCUUGAUGCAUGGUGGGGGUUGGAAAGAUUCGGCGGUUGGGGAUGGACUCGCGGCUUAUGCGCUUGUUGGUGGGGUAGUGGAUUACCAAGGCUUUGACGGGUAGCCGGCCUGAGAGGUUGACCGGGCUCAUUGGGCCUGAGAUACGGCCCAGACGCCUACGGGAGGCAACAGUGGAGAAUAUUGCACAGUGGGCGGAAGCCUGAGGCGACGACGCCGCGUGCGGAAUGACCGCCUACUAGUUAUAAACCGCUUUCUCCUGAGACGAAGCCUGAUUGACGGUAAUGAAUAAGAAAGCACCGGCUAACUACGUG
rnacentral:rRNA from 1 species